AUUGAACGCUGGCGGCAGGCCUAACACAUGCAAGUCGAGCGAGCGGCCGACGGGUGAGUAAUGUCUGGGAAACUGCCUGAUGGAGGGGGAUAACUACUGGAAACGGUAGCUAAUACCGCAUACCAUCAGAUGUGCCCAGAUGGGAUUAGCUAGUAGGUGGGGUAAUGGCUCACCUAGGCGACGAUCCCUAGCUGGUCUGCGAGGAUGACCAGCCACACUGGAACUGAGACACGGGGCAGACUACGACGGGAGGCAGCAGUGGGGAAUAUGGCGCAAUGGGCGCAAGCCUGAGGCAGCAAUGCCGGGUGUGUGAAGAAGGCCUGCGGGUUGUAAAGUACUUGCAGCGAGGAGGCGUUACUGGCAGAAGAAGCACCGGCUAACUACGUGCCAGCAGCCGCGGUAAUAC
rnacentral:rRNA from 1 species